rnacentral:rRNA from 1 species
CCUACGGGAGGCAGCAGUGGGGGAUAUUGCACAAUGGGGGAAACCCUGAUGCAGCGACGCCGCGUGAGUGAAGAAGUCUUUCGGUAUGUAAAGCUCUAUCAGCAGGGAAGAAAAUGACAGUACCUGACCAAGAAGCCCCGGGUAACUACGUGCCAGCAGCCGCGGUAUAAGUAGGGGGCAAGCGUUAUCCGGAUUUACUGGGUGUAAAGGGAGCGUAGACGGUCAUGUAAGUCUGGAGUGAAAGCCCGGGGCCCAACCCCGGGACUGCAUUGGAAACUGGGUGGCUUGAGUACAGGAGGGGCAGGUGGAAUUCCGGGUGUAGCGGUGAAAUGCGUAGAUAUCAGGAGGAACACCGGUGGCGAAGGCGGCCUGCUGGACUGAAACUGACGUUGAGGCUCGAAAGCGUGGGGAGCAAACAGGAUUAGAUACCCGUGUAGUC